rnacentral:ribozyme from 1 species
UUUUUUUUUUUUUUUUUUUUUAAGUUUUUAAUGAAACUAAAUUUAAUUACAAUCAUGAAAGCAGCUUUUGAAAACCUUGAACUGAAACUAAAACAGAAAAAAGGAAAGGACAGGAAAGGA